GACGAACGCUGGCGGCGUGCCUAAUACAUGCAAGUAGAACGCUGAAGAGAGGAGCUUGCUCUUCUUGGAUGAGUUGCGAACGGGUGAGUAACGCGUAGGUAACCUGCCUGGUAGCGGGGGAUAACUAUUGGAAACGAUAGCUAAUACCGCAUAAAAUGGAUUAUCGCAUGAUAAUCCAUUGAAAGGUGCAAAUGCAUCACUACCAGAUGGACCUGCGUUGUAUUAGCUAGUUGGUGGGGUAACGGCUCACCAAGGCGACGAUACAUAGCCGACCUGAGAGGGUGAUCGGCCACACUGGGACUGAGACACGGCCCAGACUCCUACGGGAGGCAGCAGUAGGGAAUCUUCGGCAGUGGACGGAAGUCUGACCGAGCAACGCCGCGUGAGUGAAGAAGGUUUUCGGAUCGUAAAGCUCUGUUGUAAGAGAAGAACGAGUGUGAGAGUGGAAAGUUCACACUGUGACGGUAUCUUACCAGAAAGGGACGGCUAACUACGUGCCAGCAGCCGCGGUAAUACGUAGGUCCCGAGCGUUGUCCGGAUUUAUUGGGCGUAAAGCGAGCGCAGGCGGUUAGAUAAGUCUGAAGUUAAAGGCUGUGGCUUAACCAUAGUACGCUUUGGAAGCUGUUUAACUUGAGUGCAAGAGGGGAGAGUGGAAUUCCAUGUGUAGCGGUGAAAUGCGUAGAUAUAUGGAGGAGCACCGGUGGCGAAAGCGGCUCUCUGGCUUGUAACUGACGCUGAGGCUCGAAAGCGUGGGGAGCAAACAGG
rnacentral:rRNA from 1 species